UUGGAAAUGAUAAACCAGAUUUGGAAGGACUAGGUCGCUUGAAAAUAGUGACCAUGAUCUUGUAUGAGACGCUAAGGCUAUUCCCCCCAUUACCAACAUUUGGUAGAACGAAUAAAGAAGAAGUGAAAUUGGGGGAAUUAAAUCUACCAGCUGGAGUGAUACUCAUAGUACCCGCAAUCUUAGUACAUUAUGAUAAGGAAAUAUGGGGUGAAGACGCAAAGGAAUUCAAACCAGAAAGAUUUAGUGAAG
rnacentral:misc_RNA from 1 species